GUAGCUCAACGGUAGAGCGCCCGCCUGUUAAGCGGUAGGUUCGUGGUCCGAAUCCACGC
rnacentral:tRNA from 1 species